GAUGAACGCUGGCGGCGUGCCUAAUACAUGCAAGUCGAGCGAACGGACGAGAAGCUUGCUUCUCUGAUGUUAGCGGCGGACGGGUGAGUAACACGUGGAUAACCUACCUAUAAGACUGGGAUAACUUCGGGAAACCGGAGCUAAUACCGGAUAAUAUUUUGAACCGCAUGGUUCAAAAGUGAAAGACGGUCUUGCUGUCACUUAUAGAUGGAUCCGCGCUGCAUUAGCUAGUUGGUAAGGUAACGGCUUACCAAGGCAACGAUGCAUAGCCGACCUGAGAGGGUGAUCGGCCACACUGGAACUGAGACACGGUCCAGACUCCUACGGGAGGCAGCAGUAGGGAAUCUUCCGCAAUGGGCGAAAGCCUGACGGAGCAACGCCGCGUGAGUGAUGAAGGUCUUCGGAUCGUAAAACCCUGUUAUUAGGGAAGAACAUAUGUGUAAGUAACUGUGCACAUCUUGACGGUACCUAAUCAGAAAGCCACGGCUAACUACGUG
rnacentral:rRNA from 1 species